rnacentral:rRNA from 1 species
CGGGACACGUGAUAUCCUGUCUGAAUAUGGGGGGACCAUCCUCCAAGGCUAAAUACUCCUGACUGACCGAUAGUGAACCAGUACCGUGAGGGAAAGGCGAAAAGAACCCCUGUGAGGGGAGUGAAAUAGAACCUGAAACCGUGUACGUACAAGCAGUAGGAGCACCUUCGUGGUGUGACUGCGUACCUUUUGUAUAAUGGGUCAGCGACUUAUAUUCAGUGGCAAGGUUAACCGUAUAGGGGAGCCGUAGCGAAAGCGAGUCUUAACUGGGCGCUCAGUCUCUGGAUAUAGACCCGAAACCGGGUGAUCUAGCCAUGGGCAGGUUGAAGGUUGAGUAACAUCAACUGGAGGACCGAACCGACUAAUGUUGAAAAAUUAGCGGAUGACUUGUGGCUAGGGGUGAAAGGCCAAUCAAACUCGGAGAUAGCUGGUUCUCCCCGAAAGCUAUUUAGGUAGCGCCUCGGACGAAUACUACUGGGGGUAGAGCACUGUUAAGGCUAGGGGGUCAUCCCGACUUACCAACCCUUUGCAAACUCCGAAUACCAGUAAGUACUAUCCGGGAGACACACGGCGGGUGCUAACGUCCGUCGUGGAGAGGGAAACAACCCAGACCGCCAGCUAAGGUCCCAAAGUAUUGCUAAGUGGGAAACGAUGUGGGAAGGCUCAGACAGCUAGGAUGUUGGCUUAGAAGCAGCCAUCAUUUAAAGAAAGCGUAAUAGCUCACUAGUCGAGUCGGCCUGCGCGGAAGAUGUAACGGGGCUAAGCAAUACACCGAAGCUGCGGCAAUGUCUUUUAGACAUUGGGUAGGGGAGCGUUCUGUAAGCCGUUGAAGGUGAAUCGUAAGGUUUGCUGGAGGUAUCAGAAGUGCGAAUGCUGACAUGAGUAACGACAAAGGGGGUGAAAAACCUCCUCGCCGGAAGACCAAGGGUUCCUGUCCAACGUUAAUCGGGGCAGGGUGAGUCGACCCCUAAGGUGAGGCCGAAAGGCGUAAUCGAUGGGAAACGGGUUAAUAUUCCCGUACUUCUGACUAUUGCGAUGGGGGGACGGAGAAGGCUAGGUGGGCCAGGCGACGGUUGUCCUGGUUCAAGUGCGUAGGCUUGAGAGUUAGGUAAAUCCGGCUCUCUCUAAGGCUGAGACACGACGUCGAGCUACUACGGUAGUGAAGUCAUUGAUGCCAUGCUUCCAGGAAAAGCCUCUAAGCUUCAGAUAGUCAGGAAUCGUACCCCAAACCGACACAGGUGGUCGGGUAGAGAAUACCAAGGCGCUUGAGAGAACUCGGGUGAAGGAACUAGGCAAAAUGGUACCGUAACUUCGGGAGAAGGUACGCUCUUGAUGGUGAAGUCCCUCGCGGAUGGAGCUGACGAGAGUCGCAGAUACCAGGUGGCUGCAACUGUUUAUUAAAAACACAGCACUGUGCAAAAUCGCAAGAUGACGUAUACGGUGUGACGCCUGCCCGGUGCCGGAAGGUUAAUUGAUGGGGUUAGCGCAAGCGAAGCUCUUGAUCGAAGCCCCGGUAAACGGCGGCCGUAACUAUAACGGUCCUAAGGUAGCGAAAUUCCUUGUCGGGUAAGUUCCGACCUGCACGAAUGGCGUAAUGAUGGCCACGCUGUCUCCACCCGAGACUCAGUGAAAUUGAAAUCGCUGUGAAGAUGCAGUGUACCCGCGGCUAGACGGAAAGACCCCGUGAACCUUUACUACAGCUUGGCACUGAACAUUGAACCUACAUGUGUAGGAUAGGUGGGAGGCUAUGAAGACGUGACGCCAGUUGCGUUGGAGCCGUCCUUGAAAUACCACCCUUGUAUGUUUGAUGUUCUAACUUAGACCCAUUAUCUGGGUUGAGGACAGUGCCUGGUGGGUAGUUUGACUGGGGCGGUCUCCUCCCAAAGAGUAACGGAGGAGCACGAAGGUGGGCUAAUCACGGUUGGACAUCGUGAGGUUAGUGCAAUGGCAUAAGCCCGCUUAACUGCGAGAAUGACGGUUCGAGCAGGUGCGAAAGCAGGUCAUAGUGAUCCGGUGGUUCUGUAUGGAAGGGCCAUCGCUCAACGGAUAAAAGGUACUCCGGGGAUAACAGGCUGAUACCGCCCAAGAGUUCAUAUCGACGGCGGUGUUUGGCACCUCGAUGUCGGCUCAUCACAUCCUGGGGCUGAAGUCGGUCCCAAGGGUAUGGCUGUUCGCCAUUUAAAGUGGUACGCGAGCUGGGUUUAGAACGUCGUGAGACAGUUCGGUCCCUAUCUGCCGUGGGCGUUGGAAGAUUGAAGGGGGCUGCUCCUAGUACGAGAGGACCGGAGUGGACGAACCUCUGGUGUUCGGGUUGUGUCGCCAGACGCAUUGCCCGGUAGCUAAGUUCGGAAUUGAUAAGCGCUGAAAGCAUCUAAGCGCGAAGCGAGCCCUGAGAUGAGUCUUCCCUGACAGUUUAACUGUCCUAAAGGGUUGUUCGAGACUAGAACGUUGAUAGGCAGGGUGUGUAAGCGUUGUGAGGCGUUGAGCUAACCUGUACUAAUUGCCCGUGAGGCUUAACCAUACAACACCCAAGGGGUUUUGUA